GGCCAGUUGGCGCAAUGGUAGCGUGUGGCUCUCCUACUAAGGGAUUGCAAAGCCGAGGUUGUGGGUUCGAGUCCCAUGCUGGUCG
rfam:Podospora anserina genomic DNA, chromosome 5.